GAACUUAAACUGGGAAUUGCAUUUGAAAACGGCUGGCCAGAAUUCUGUAGGAGGGGGGUAGAAUUUCCUGGGAGCCGGUUAAAUGGGUAGAGGAUCGGAAGGAUUACCGUUGCGAAGGCCGCCCCCUGGGCCAAGAAUGAAGGUUAAGUGCCGAAGGGUUGGGAACCAAACGGGUUAGGUUCCCUGGUUGUUCACGCCGUUAAAGAAGUUGAAUUAGAGGGUGUGGUCCUGGAGCGGGGGUUUCGGAAGUAACGGGUUAAAUUGGCCGCCUGGGGGAUUAGGCCGCCAGGUUUAAAAUUAAAUGAAAUGGAGGGGGGCCGCCCCAACGGGGGGACCUGGGGGUUAAUUUGGUGCAAAGGGGAGAACCUUACCUUGUUCUGACCUUCCACGAAUCCUUCAAAAAAAGGAGAGGGCCUUUGGGAAAGUUUAGACCGGUGGUGCCAGGGCGUUGUUCAGUUGUGUUUUGAAAAGGUGGGGUUAAUUCCGCAAAGAGGGCCACCCUUUUCCUUUGUUGCCAGCAGGUUAUGGUGGGAACUCAAAGGAGACUGCCGGUGAUAAACCGGAGGAAGGUGGGGAUGACGUCAAGUCAUCAUGGCCCUUACGACCAGGGCUACACACGUGCUACAAUGGCAGAUACAAAGAGAAGCGACCUCGCGAGAGCAAGCGGAACUCAUAAAGUAUGUCGUAGUCCGGAUUGGAGUCUGCAACUCGACUCCAUGAAGUCGGAAUCGCUAGUAAUCGUAGAACAGAA
rnacentral:rRNA from 1 species